GUGUGUAGUGUGUGUGUAGUGUGUGUGUAAUGGUGUGGGUGUAGUGAUGUGUAGUGGUGUGUGUAGUGUAAUGGUGUGUGUGUGUAGUGGUGUGUAUGUGUAGUGUGCAUAGUGGUGUGUGUGUAGUGUAGUGGUGUGUGUAGUGUGUGUAGUGGUGUGUGCAUAGUGGUGUGUGUUGCGUGUGUGUAGUGGUGUGUGUAGUGGCGUGUAUGUGUAGUGUGUGCAUAGUGGUGUGUGUAGUGUGUAGUGGUGUGUGUGUAGUGUGUAGUGUGUGUAGUGUGUGUGUAAUGGUGUGUGUGUAGUGGUAUGUGUAGUGUGUGCAUAGUGGUGUGUGUGUAGUGUGUAGUGGUGUGUAGUGUGUGUGUAGUGGUGUCUAAUGGUGUGUGUAGUGUGGUGUGUGUAGUGUGUAAUGGUGUGUGUGUAGUGGUGUGUGUGUAGUGUGUAGUGGUGCGUGUGUGUAGUGGUGCGUGUGUAGUGGUGUGUGUAGUGGUUGUGUGUAGUGUGUGUAGUGGUGUGUGUAGUGUGUGCGUGUAGUGGUGUGUGUAGUGUGUGUGUAGUGGUUGUGUGUUGUGUGUAGUGGUGUGUGUAGUGUGUAGUGGCGUGUAGUGGUGUGUGUAGUGGUGUAUGCAGUGGUGUGUAUG
rnacentral:lncRNA from 10 species